GACGAACGCUGGCGGCGUGCUUAACACAUGCAAGUCGAACGGAAAGGCCCUGCUUGCAGGGUACUCGAGUGGCGAACGGGUGAGUAACACGUGGGUGAUCUGCCCUGCACUUCGGGAUAAGCCUGGGAAACUGGGUCUAAUACCGGAUAGGAGCCAUUUUUAGUGUGAUGGUUGGAAAGUUUUUUCGGUGUAGUAUGAGCUCGCGGCCUAUCAGCUUGUUGGUGGGGUAAUGGCCUACCAAGGCGGCGACGGGUAGCCGGCCUGAGAGGGUGGACGGCCACAUUGGGACUGAGAUACGGCCCAGAUUCCUACGGGAGGCAGCAGUGGGGAAUAUUGCACAAUGGGCGCAAGCCUGAUGCAGCGACGCCGCGUGGGGGAUGACGGCCUUCGGGUUGUAAACUCCUUUCGCUAGGGACGAAGCUUUUUGUGACGGUACCUAGAUAAGAAGCACCGGCUAACUACGUG
rnacentral:rRNA from 1 species